rnacentral:rRNA from 1 species
UGGGGAAUUUUGGACAAUGGGGGCAACCCUGAUCCAGCAAUGCCGCGUGAGUGAAGAAGGCCUUCGGGUUGUAAAGCUCUUUUGUCCGGGAAGAAAUCCCAUCCUUGAAUACGGGGUGGGGAUGACGGUACUGGAAGAAUAAGCACCGGCUAACUACGUGCCAGCAGCCGCGGUAAUACGUAGGGUGCAAGCGUUAAUCGGAAUUACUGGGCGUAAAGCGUGCGCAGGCGGUUGUGCAAGACCGAUGUGAAAUCCCCGGGCUUAACCUGGGAACUGCAUUGGUGACUGCACGGCUAGAGUGUGUCAGAGGGGGGUAGAAUUCCACGUGUAGCAGUGAAAUGCGUAGAGAUGUGGAGGAAUACCGAUGGCGAAGGCGCCGCCUGGGAUAACACUGACGCUCAUGCACGAAAGCGUGGGGAGCAAACAGGAUUAGAUACCCUGGUAGUCCACGCCCUAAACGAUGUCAACUAGUUGUCGGGGAUUAAUUUCCUUGGUAACGCAGCUAACGCGUGAAGUUGACCGCCU